CUGCUUUGCAGUUUGCACCUCUCCACGCUGCGUGCAUUCAUUAAAAUCAAUUGUUUGAUUGACCUCUUCUGGACCAUCAUUGUUUUACUCUCGUCCUCAAUUUCUUACCCGUAACAUUUGGUGCAUUGGCCGAGGGUUGAGGGGAGAGACUUGGAGAUUGAGACCGAGAGGGUCCGAGGCGCUCGAACGAGCAGACACGAGUCAGUGGUCGAAGUGAGUGGACAUAAGCCGGCUUAUUCAAAGGUAAGGCACUACCUGUUGAAUUAUUUCCAAACAGUGCUGAAUUGGUUCUGACAAAAUUGAAAGUCUACUCACUGAAAAUUACUGGUAAAAGUCUGUUUUGAUUUUGGUGAAAAUCUCAUGAGAAUUGAAGUUGAAGUAAUGAUAAUGUAAGGUUAAGUGACAGUACUGAUUAAAGGAAAAGCAGUUGGACUGCUACGAGGAUUUAAAUGCAGUUGGACUGCUAAGGAAAGAGAAUUUAAAGUAGUUGGACUACUGAAUUUAGGAAAUAGGUCAUUUGAAAUCUGUAUAUGGUCAUACAGUUAUAAUUGAAUACAAAGCUGGGCUUGGGCAUCAAUAAAGUGGGUUGGUGGUUUCAUAGGAUGUCUUUAAAACGUAAUUAAAUUCAUGUAGAACGGAACUGUGGAAAGUUCUAGGAAGUGCAUCGCUCAGAGGUAACGCUUGCCGGAGUCAGGGACGCUUAGACUCCGUCCUCAGUUGAGGGAUAGUCAGUUGGUCACUGUGGAGCUUGGGGCACUCCAGAAUAACUAGUGGUUGGACCACUUUGCCGUUUGGAACGGUUUAUGCACUUUUUUGGGUAGUAAAGGUUGGACCUUGGGCGUUGGACGCUUUUAAAUUGACUUAGGAACUUUAGCAAUUAGACCAGACACAGGUUGGACCUGAUACUGGGUCAUUGAUUAUCAAAAACUUGGAGUUUGUCCCUUGGAGGGUUAAUUCAAAUUUUGUCUAAAUUAUGUAGGUUGUGCAAUUUAAGGCCUUGUAAAUAUUAUUUAAUUUAUCAGACGUCUCUGUGUUAUAAUUUCUAUGUUUGUAUAUAGGCUCUGUCUGCCACGGGCACUGCAGCAGGCUGUUUAUUUUGAGAGUGUGUCUGUGUUUAUGUAAAUGAGAUGCCUGUGACUUAUUUAGAGUGACAUUUCCUGUUUACUAAUGAGUGGCUAAUGACUGACUGCAGAGCCAGGGUUAAGGACGACUUCAAUCUGUGUUUUAAGGAAGAAAUGCAGUUUAUGUUUAUUAUAUUUGUGUGACUGUUGAUUAUGAUAAGUAUUUCAUGAUAACUGUAGAAUAUGAGUAUGGGGUUUGCUUGACACGUGUCUGUACUAGGUAAAACUGUGUAAAACUGAUAGGAAGUUUAUAGGGACUGCUACACAUGGCUGAUGCCUGUAUUUAAGACGCUGGAGUUGUUUAUUACAAUAUUGUAAGUAAAGUUUUAUUUCUUGCCAUGACUGUAUGACUUUUGCGGGGUUUUGAGAUAGGAUACAUAAACUGUUGAUACUUAAGACCGUUACCUGGGUUCUGAGAACUGAAAUUGAAUUUGAGAUAAUUUAAUUAAUAAAUAUGUCUGCAAGCCAUGUGUGUUUUGGGGUGUCGAAGUAAGAUGUUUUAGGAUUUUUAGAUGGGUUUUGUUUCAGUUUGAGAUAAUAUAUAUACAGUUACAUUUUCUGUGUGUGUUGUUGAGUGACAACAUGCGCAGUUUAAAUUGGGCGCUGUUCCUUCCUCUUUUAGUUUCAAAACACAAAGGCUGUGAGAUUAAAA
ensembl:lncRNA